GGGGGGACCAUCCUCCAAGGCUAAAUACUCCUGACUGACCGAUAGUGAACCAGUACCGUGAGGGAAAGGCGAAAAGAACCCCGGCGAGGGGAGUGAAAAAGAACCUGAAACCGUGUACGUACAAGCAGUGGGAGCCUCUUAAUGGGGUGACUGCGUACCUUUUGUAUAAUGGGUCAGCGACUUAUAUUCUGUAGCAAGGUUAACCGAAUAGGGGAGCCGAAGGGAAACCGAGUCUUAACUGGGCGUUAAGUUGCAGGGUAUAGACCCGAAACCCGGUGAUCUAGCCAUGGGCAGGUUGAAGGUUGGGUAACACUAACUGGAGGACCGAACCGACUAAUGUUGAAAAAUUAGCGGAUGACUUGUGGCUGGGGGUGAAAGGCCAAUCAAACCGGGAGAUAGCUGGUUCUCCCCGAAAGCUAUUUAGGUAGCGCCUCGUGAAUUCAUCUCCGGGGGUAGAGCACUGUUUCGGCAAGGGGGUCAUCCCGACUUACCAACCCGAUGCAAACUGCGAAUACCGGAGAAUGUUAUCACGGGAGACACACGGCGGGUGCUAACGUCCGUCGUGAAGAGGGAAACAACCCAGACCGCCAGCUAAGGUCCCAAAGUCAUGGUUAAGUGGGAAACGAUGUGGGAAGGCCCAGACAGCCAGGAUGUUGGCUUAGAAGCAGCCAUCAUUUAAAGAAAGCGUAAUAGCUCACUGGUCGAGUCGGCCUGCGCGGAAGAUGUAACGGGGCUAAACCAUGCACCGAAGCUGCGGCAGCGACGCUUAUGCGUUGUUGGGUAGGGGAGCGUUCUGUAAGCCUGUGAAGGUGGCCUGUGAGGGUUGCUGGAGGUAUCAGAAGUGCGAAUGCUGACAUAAGUAACGAUAAAGCGGGUGAAAAGCCCGCUCGCCGGAAGACCAAGGGUUCCUGUCCAACGUUAAUCGGGGCAGGGUGAGUCGACCCCUAAGGCGAGGCCGAAAGGCGUAGUCGAUGGGAAACAGGUUAAUAUUCCUGUACUUGGUGUUACUGCGAAGGGGGGACGGAGAAGGCUAUGUUGGCCGGGCGACGGUUGUCCCGGUUUAAGCGUGUAGGCUGGUUUUCCAGGCAAAUCCGGAAAACCAAGGCUGAGGCGUGAUGACGAGGCACUACGGUGCUGAAGUGACAAAUGCCCUGCUUCCAGGAAAAGCCUCUAAGCAUCAGGUAACAUCAAAUCGUACCCCAAACCGACACAGGUGGUCAGGUAGAGAAUACCAAGGCGCUUGAGAGAACUCGGGUGAAGGAACUAGGCAAAAUGGUGCCGUAACUUCGGGAGAAGGCACGCUGAUAUGUAGGUGAAGCGACUUGCUCGUGGAGCUGAAAUCAGUCGAAGAUACCAGCUGGCUGCAACUGUUUAUUAAAAACACAGCACUGUGCAAACACGAAAGUGGACGUAUACGGUGUGACGCCUGCCCGGUGCCGGAAGGUUAAUUGAUGGGGUUAGCGGUAACGCGAAGCUCUUGAUCGAAGCCCCGGUAAACGGCGGCCGUAACUAUAACGGUCCUAAGGUAGCGAAAUUCCUUGUCGGGUAAGUUCCGACCUGCACGAAUGGCGUAAUGAUGGCCAGGCUGUCUCCACCCGAGACUCAGUGAAAUUGAACUCGCUGUGAAGAUGCAGUGUACCCGCGGCAAGACGGAAAGACCCCGUGAACCUUUACUAUAGCUUGACACUGAACAUUGAGCCUUGAUGUGUAGGAUAGGUGGGAGGCUUUGAAGUGUGGACGCCAGUCUGCAUGGAGCCGACCUUGAAAUACCACCCUUUAAUGUUUGAUGUUCUAACGUUGGCCCCUAAUCGGGGUUGCGGACAGUGUCUGGUGGGUAGUUUGACUGGGGCGGUCUCCUCCUAAAGAGUAACGGAGGAGCACGAAGGUUGGCUAAUCCUGGUCGGACAUCAGGAGGUUAGUGCAAUGGCAUAAGCCAGCUUGACUGCGAGCGUGACGGCGCGAGCAGGUGCGAAAGCAGGUCAUAGUGAUCCGGUGGUUCUGAAUGGAAGGGCCAUCGCUCAACGGAUAAAAGGUACUCCGGGGAUAACAGGCUGAUACCGCCCAAGAGUUCAUAUCGACGGCGGUGUUUGGCACCUCGAUGUCGGCUCAUCACAUCCUGGGGCUGAAGUAGGUCCCAAGGGUAUGGCUGUUCGCCAUUUAAAGUGGUACGCGAGCUGGGUUUAGAACGUCGUGAGACAGUUCGGUCCCUAUCUGCCGUGGGCGCUGGAGAACUGAGGGGGGCUGCUCCUAGUACGAGAGGACCGGAGUGGACGCAUCACUGGUGUUCGGGUUGUCAUGCCAAUGGCACUGCCCGGUAGCUAAAUGCGGAAGAGAUAAGUGCUGAAAGCAUCUAAGCACGAAACUUGCCCCGAGAUGAGUUCUCCCUGAGACUUAGAGUCUCCUGAAGGAACGUUGAAGACGACGACGUUGAUAGGCCGGGUGUGUAAGCGCAGCGAUGCGUUGAGCUAACCGGUACUAAUGAACCGUGAGGCUUAACCUU
rnacentral:rRNA from 1 species